AAAUUGAAGAGUUUGAUCAUGGCUCAGAUUGAACGCUGGCGGCAGGCCUAACACAUGCAAGUCGAACGGUAAUAGGAAGCAGCUUGCUGCUUUGCUGACGAGUGGCGGACGGGUGAGUAAUGUCUGGGAAACUGCCUGAUGGAGGGGGAUAACUACUGGAAACGGUGGCUAAUACCGCAUAACGUCGCAAGACCAAAGAGGGGGACCUUCGGGCCUCUUGCCAUCAGAUGUGCCCAGAUGGGAUUAGCU
rnacentral:rRNA from 1 species